AAGAUAAAGUUCCUCCUGCUGAUUUACAGACACUUUUGGUUGCUACUUGUGAUUAAGAACUGACUUUGAGUGAUAGCAAGAGGAUGAUUUAAAUCGCCGCUUGUGAUGAAACGCACACUAAUCAACAUUUGCACUUGCAGACCAACUAAAUAGUUGCAGAGAAACACAUUUAAUUGAUGACUUUACUAUCUUUAGCUUAGGACUUUUUAAAAGCGAAGACUGGACUCCUUAGCCAUCUUCGUGUUCAAAGGAAUGAUUAAUGGAGGAAUUCUAAAAGCGAAGACUGGACUCCUUAGCCAUCUUCGUGUUCAUAGGAAUGAUUUAUGGAGGAUAUUUAAAAGCGAAGACUGGACUCCUUAGCCAUCUUCGUGUUCAUAGGAAUGAUUAACGGAGGAAUUUAAAAAUCGAAGACUGGACUCCUUAGCCAUCUUCGUGUUUAAAGGAUGUAGUUGAGGACUUUUUUUUUGGAAAAAAGAUCGGUCUCCAUGGCCAUCUUUGCUUAGGUAGAAUAAAAAAUGGACUUGGAUAUUUUUUAGAGCGAAGAUCGGACUCCACAGCUAUCUUCGUACUUAUAGGAAAGGAUAUUGUAUUAUAUUUUAAACAUGAGGAAUUUUAGCUGAGGACUAGAUGUAGUAACAGUCAUCAAUUGAUGUGUUCAUCCAAGACAAAAUAGUUGGUUAUGUUUGUGCAUUUGUAGACAACCCAGGUAUUGAGGUAUUGACAUUGUUUAAUACAUUACAUUUUUUGUACCUUUUUUUUAUAUUUUUAACAAUGAUAUCGAAAGAUAUUAUUAAAUAUCUAGACUAGAUCUUUUGUAUAGUAAUUACAGUAUUUUUAAUAGCUAUACAUUUUUAAUUAAACUUUUUUUUUUUUUUUUUUCUAUUUAAAAUGCUGAGCAUACAUAACUAAACUGGAAGAACAGAUGAAGUCCAAAAUGCUAAAGCAACAGACAACCCAGACCAAGAUAAAGUUCCUCCUGCUGAUUUACAGACACUUUUGGUUGCUACUUGUGAUUAAGAACUGACUUGGAGUGAUAGCAAGAGGAUGAUUUAAAUCGGCGCUCGUGAUGAAACGCACACUAAUGAACAUUUGCACUUGCAGACCAACUAAAUAGUUGCGGAGAAACACAUUUAAUUGAUGACUUUACUAUCUUUAGCUUAGAACUUUUGAAAAGCGAAGACUGGACUCCUUAGCCAUCUUCGUGUUCAUAGGAAUGAUUAAUGGAGGAAUUCUAAAAGCGAAGACUGGACUCCUUAGCCAUCUUCGUGUUCAUAGGAAUGAUUAAUGGAGGAAUUCUAAAAGCGAAGACUGAACUCCUUAGCCAUCUUCGUGUUCAUAGGAAUGAUUUAUGGAGGAAUUUUAAAAGCGAAGACUGGACUCCUUAGCCAUCUUCGUGUUCAUAGGAAUGAUUAACGGAGGAAUUUUAAAAUCGAAGACUGGACUCCUUAGCCAUCUUCGUGUUUAAAGGAUGUAGUUGAGGACUUUUUUUUUGGAAAAAAGAUCGGUCUCCAUGGCCAUCUUUGCUUAGGUAGAAUAAAAAAUGGACUUGGAUAUUUUUUAGAGCGAAGAUCGGACUCCACAGCCAUCUUCGUACUUAUAGGAAAGGAUAUUGUAUUAUAUUUUAAACAUGAGGAAUUUUAGCUGAGGACUAGAUGUAGUAACAGUCAUCAAUUGAUGUGUUCAUCCAAGACAAAAUAGUUGGUUAUGUUUGUGCAUUUGUAGACAACCCAGGUAUUGAGGUAUUGACAUUGUUUAAUACAUUACAUUUUUUGUACCUUUUUUUUUUUUUUUUUACAAUGAUAUCGAAAGAUAUUAUUAAAUAUCUAGACUAGAUCUUUUGUAUAGUAAUUACAAUAUUUUUUAAUAGCUAUACAUUUUUAAGUCAACUUUUUGUUGUUUUUUUUUCUAUUUAAAAUGCUGAGCAUACAUAACUAAACUGGAAGAACAGAUGAAGUCCAAAAUGCUAAAGCAACAGACAACCCAGGUAAAUACAUAUCAUAACAGUAUAGCAAAGAUUUUAAGGAAAGAAUUUUGAGAAUAAAUGUUUUAGAUUAAAGCAAAAUAUUUUGAUUAAAAGAUAAUUAUUUUAGUUGAUAUAUUCAAUAACAUCCUGCUGAUUCACAGACCAAGAUAAAGUUCCUCCUGCUGAUUUACAGACACUUUUGGUUGCUACUUGUGAUUAAGAACUGACUUGGAGUGAUAGCAAGACUGGACUCCUUAGCCAUCUUCGUGUUCAUAGGAAUGAUUAAUGGAGGAAUUCUAAAAGCGAAGACUGGACUCCUUAGCCAUCUUCGUGUUCAUAGGAAUGAUUUAUGGAGGAAUUUUAAAAGCGAAGACUGGACUCCUUAGCCAUCUUCGUGUUCAUAGGAAUGAUUAACGGAGGAAUUUUAAAAUCGAAGACUGGACUCCUUAGCCAUCUUCGUGUUUAAAGGAUGUAGUUGAGGACUUUUUUUUUGGAAAAAAGAUCGGUCUCCAUGGCCAUCUUUGCUUAGGUAGAAUAAAAAAUGGACUUGGAUAUUUUUUAGAGCGAAGAUCGGACUCCACAGCCAUCUUCGUACUUAUAGGAAAGGAUAUUGUAUUAUAUUUUAAACAUGAGGAAUUUUAGCUGAGGACUAGAUGUAGUAACAGUCAUCAAUUGAUGUGUUCAUCCAAGACGAAAUAGUUGGUUAUGUUUGUGCAUUUGUAGACAACCCAGGUAUUGAGGUAUUGACAUUGUUUAAUACAUUACAUUUUUUGUACCUUUUUUUUAUAUUUUUAACAAUGAUAUCGAAAGAUAUUAUUAAAUAUCUAGACUAGAUCUUUUGUAUAGUAAUUACAGUAUUUUUAAUAGCUAUACAUUUUUAAUUAAACUUUUUUUUUUUUUUUUUUCUAUUUAAAAUGCUGAGCAUACAUAACUAAACUGGAAGAACAGAUGAAGUCCAAAAUGCUAAAGCAACAGACAACCCAGACCAAGAUAAAGUUCCUCCUGCUGAUUUACAGACACUUUUGGUUGCUACUUGUGAUUAAGAACUGACUUGGAGUGAUAGCAAGAGGAUGAUUUAAAUCGGCGCUCGUGAUGAAACGCACACUAAUGAACAUUUGCACUUGCAGACCAACUAAAUAGUUGCGGAGAAACACAUUUAAUUGAUGACUUUACUAUCUUUAGCUUAGAACUUUUGAAAAGCGAAGACUGGACUCCUUAGCCAUCUUCGUGUUCAUAGGAAUGAUUAAUGGAGGAAUUCUAAAAGCGAAGACUGGACUCCUUAGCCAUCUUCGUGUUCAUAGGAAUGAUUAAUGGAGGAAUUCUAAAAGCGAAGACUGAACUCCUUAGCCAUCUUCGUGUUCAUAGGAAUGAUUUAUGGAGGAAUUUUAAAAGCGAAGACUGGACUCCUUAGCCAUCUUCGUGUUCAUAGGAAUGAUUAACGGAGGAAUUUUAAAAUCGAAGACUGGACUCCUUAGCCAUCUUCGUGUUUAAAGGAUGUAGUUGAGGACUUUUUUUUUGGAAAAAAGAUCGGUCUCCAUGGCCAUCUUUGCUUAGGUAGAAUAAAAAAUGGACUUGGAUAUUUUUUAGAGCGAAGAUCGGACUCCACAGCCAUCUUCGUACUUAUAGGAAAGGAUAUUGUAUUAUAUUUUAAACAUGAGGAAUUUUAGCUGAGGACUAGAUGUAGUAACAGUCAUCAAUUGAUGUGUUCAUCCAAGACAAAAUAGUUGGUUAUGUUUGUGCAUUUGUAGACAACCCAGGUAUUGAGGUAUUGACAUUGUUUAAUACAUUACAUUUUUUGUACCUUUUUUUUUUUUUUUUUACAAUGAUAUCGAAAGAUAUUAUUAAAUAUCUAGACUAGAUCUUUUGUAUAGUAAUUACAAUAUUUUUUAAUAGCUAUACAUUUUUAAGUCAACUUUUUGUUGUUUUUUUUUCUAUUUAAAAUGCUGAGCAUACAUAACUAAACUGGAAGAACAGAUGAAGUCCAAAAUGCUAAAGCAACAGACAACCCAGGUAAAUACAUAUCAUAACAGUAUAGCAAAGAUUUUAAGGAAAGAAUUUUGAGAAUAAAUGUUUUAGAUUAAA